rnacentral:lncRNA from 1 species
CAGAAAGGGUCCCUUUCUCCCUGGCUCCUCCAGCAGCGCAAUGUGAUCCACCGGCAAGGAGGGACGCCAAUAAGGUGUCUGAUAAGAUAAGUCUUAUAAAAUAUAUAGGUUUAUGAUAAUUGAGACUGAGCUAGCAGAUGAGGAAUCCUAGUCAUUGGCCAAGCAGCACUGAACCUAAUACAAGUUUCUGCGUAUUCAUUUGGGCCUAACUCGGGCAGGCGGCUGGCGUGAAGCUCACACGUGGCGGUAGGGGCUCGGUGGCAUUUGGUGGAAAGAUUUAUCGUAACACUUAGUCAUGUGCCUGUGCUCUGCCCUGGAUCUGCUCAGCCACCAGCACUCUUGUGUGUCACCCCUCCAUUCCUUCCCAGCUCAUUUUUUUCUCUGUUUGUCUACCGACUCGAGCCUGCCUUUAUCUCUGUAUUUAUCUAUCUAUUCUUCCAUAUCUCUCUAACUUUGUUUGUUUGUUUGUUCUUGUUUUUCAAGACAGGAUUUCACUGUGUAACCCUGGCUGUUCUAGAACUCUGUAUGUAGACCAGACUGGCCUUGAACUCAGGGAUCCAUCUGCCUCUGCCUCUGCCUCUGCCUCUGGAGUGUUGGGAUUAAAGGCAUGCACCACCAACACCCAGAAGGUUAUUUUGUUUUGUUUGUGAGAUAUUUUCUCUGUGUAGCCCUGGCUGUCCUGGAACCCACUAUAUAGAUCAGAAUGGCCUUAUUCCCAGAGAUCUGCCUGCUUCUGGCUCCCAAGUGCUGGGAUUAAAGGCAUGCACCAACUCCAACCAGCCCUCUCUGGCUUUUUAAAAUAACUUUUAAAUUUAUUUAUUUAUUUAUUUAUGUGUGUGUGUGUGUGUGUGUGUGUGUGUGUGUGUGUGUGUGUAUGCUUAGGAGCGAGCAUGCGCUCAGGAGCGAGCUCUCGCGCACACACACACACACAUACACACACACACACACACACACACACACACACACACACACUUGGUGGCAAGCACUCUUACCCCACCCUUUGAGAUCUAUUUGUUUUUAUGUGUAGGUGUUUGCCUACACAAAUGCAUGUCUGUGCACCAUAUGUGCAGUGUCUGAAGAGACUGGAAGAUGUUUUGGACCCCCUAUGACUGAGUUAUACUCUGCCAUGCAGGCACUUGAAAUUGAGCCAGUGCUCUUAACUGCUGGGCCGUCUCUCCAGUCUGUGCCCUCUUCUGAAACAGGGUGUCUCUCUACAUAACUCCUCCUUGUCCAGAAUUCACUAUAUAGAUCAGGCUGGCCUCAAACCUGCAAUGAAUCCUCUUGUUUCUACCAAUCUAGCACUAGGAUUUCAGACAUGAGCCACCACACCCUGCUUUCAGGUUAGCCCAGGCUGGCCUCAGAAUUGCUAUAUACUUGAAGAUGACCUUGAACUCCUGGUUUACAUCUCUCUGAGUUCUAGGGUAGUGCUGCCAGGCAGGGUUGGGGAUCUGUACCCAGUCUGGGACAGAAGAGUCUCAAGGGCUGGCCCUGGGACGGAUCCUGGACAGCUUGAUCAGGAGUUUCUUCUGAGUCAAGCUCUGAGAAACAAUUGCCAGGGCUCAACCAUGCCAGGGAAACGAGGUGGGAGAGCCUACAGAAGGAUGGGAAGAAUAAGCCCCGGCCGUCCAUUCAUCCUGCAAGUUUAACCCUACCACGCCCUCCACCCUUACCCAUCCCACUGUAGAGGUGGAACUGGCCUCAGCCUGUCUCCAUUAGCUCCCUAUCUUCGGACAAUCCAGGGGUAGAAGCCUGGGGAGAAGGAGGGAUAAGUGUCUGUGGAAUGACAGUGAUACUCCGGGCAUGCACAUCCAACAGAUGCCCAUGGACUCCCAGCUCAGGUCCACACUUACAUGUCUGUGAGCUCACACUCAAGCACAGGCUCCCUGUCUGGCUCAGGAGAUACCCGUUGUUAUCCAGUAAAUAUAUAUGAAGCCACUACCCUCAUGUCCUAGACCCUUGUUAAGCAGCUGGUGUUACUAUCCCAUGCAUGACAAACCUAGACAAGACAUCUUAACCACCAUGAUGCUUUAUUGACGCAAAAUCAUCAGAGACAUUGAAAUUGUAAGUCCCAUUGCAAAGAAACAGUGUGGGGGCCAGGCAAGGUCUUCUUGGCUUCAUGCAGGCUGGAACUGCUCGGGGAGCUCCUUGAAGGCAUAGAGACCUGGAAGGACAUGCUGAGGGCUAGGGCUUUACCACAGGAUGGCCUUUUCCUUCUUCCUCCCCUUCAUUCACAUUUUCCUUCUUUCCUUCCUUUUUCUUUCUUUAUAGACAGUACUGUGCAACCCAGGCUGGCCUCCAGCGUGCUCUGCAGCUGACAAUGACAUUUAAUUUCCUGAAGCUCAUGACUUGACCUCCCAAUCCUAGGAUUGCAGAUAUGAGCCACAGUAUUUGGUUUAUGUGCUACCAGGGAUCAAAACCAGGGCUUCGUGCAUGCUAGGCAAGCACUGUCCCAGUUUAGCUACAUCCCCAGUCCCUGGGGUAUCUUUCCAAGUUUACAAAGGCCCCUUAUGGGCUGGCAAUAGCUUAUUCAGUCUACUCUUGGGGAUAGUUUCCUAUCCUCCAUCUUUUCUACCCAAUCCACUGGUGACCAAAGCCCAAUUUCGGCUUCUGUCUCAUUGUCACCAGAGAAGGUUAGAUAUGCACACCUUGCCAUACAUUUGCUCAAUUGCCCCCAUGCAGUCGGCAUCACACACAGACUCCCAUGGCCUCUAACACCACAUUAUAGACGUGACGUUCAAAGGCUCGAUCACACAAUAUUCUCACACAUGUCCUGUUAAGUGUGUGUACACAUGACCCGUUAUAUCCCAUGUCUCAGGAUGCUACUCCCAUAGCCACCGCCUCACCCCAGCUGCACACGACACCUCACACUCUGUUACAUGGGCCACAUCCAUGUGCACACACAGCGUAGUUGCUCAUACAUGACAACCACGCUCCUGUUAGGUUUCUAGAGACAAGCAUGUGGAGCCCCUGAUCACAGCUAAAUGUCAGCGAGUCCCUCUCCUCCCAGUUAGAGAUGAAUUGUUGCUCGGGAGAUAUUUCAUCCUUAAUGCCUCCUGCUUGAACUGGAGCAUGCGUCUCCAGGAGGUUACGCUUCUCCCGAUCUGUCUACUGCUCCCCCCACCCCAGGGACCUGCCCUCCUGCUUCUCAGCUUUCAUGGGGGGCGGGCAGAGUCUCCCUCUCCCCUUACAGCUUCUCCUCAUCCCUUCUCUCCCUGUGAACUCAGCUCCUGGCAAAAGAACAAAGCCCAGGAAACUGCCCUGGCCCCCUUUGCAGCCUUCAAGUCAAGAGGUGUCCCUAGGGCCCAGGAGUCAUAGCUUACCCAGCCCCCACUCUGACUGCUACCUGCAUUCAGGACCAGAGUAGCCCUUGGCAAGGAGAACAGUCGGGGCUACAAAGAGUGGGUCUGGCCUUGAAGGACAGCCCCUCUUAGGGGUCUGUGCACACACAAUCCUCUGUCAUAUUAAAAAAAAAAAAAUCCAACAUGUUCACUCUCCUGGGUUUGGCCCAUAGCAUUACAAAAGCAACACACACAAAAAGUUGUAAAGAGCGCUGACAUGAGGGUGACCUGGCAAAAUCUUUCAGGAGGAAAGCUGUGUAAGAGGCACCCAAAGCCCCGUAAGGUGUAUCCCUUCGCCCCAACAAUGCCAUGUUUAAGAAUUACUGUUAUGAAUGCAGACCAGGAGAGUUCAGAAAAUUUGGCUUCAAGGGCUCAUCCCAGCCUCGUUUAUAAGAAUGAAAAAUUGGAAACAACCUAAACCUCUCCCACAGUAGGGGUUGGCAAUGAUACAGCCAUCCACAGAAUACUGUGUAGCCAUUAAAACACUGGAAGAAUGUUUAGCAUCGUUGAACGACAUACCCCACAUAACGCUGAAUGAACAAGCAGGUUGCAAAGCAGUGUGUAUUUCAAUGCAAUGCUGUGUCCUGGACUGGAUCCUGGAUGAAGAAAAGGAUUUGUGUGGAAAAACCCACCACAGUCAAAUAAAAUCUAGAGUUCAGUUAUUAACGGGGAGCCAGUGCUGAGUUCCUGGCUCUGACAAAUGCAUCAAGAUAAUGUAAGAUUUCCAUAGUGGGGGAGACUGCAGAAGGCAGACACGGAUACUCCCUGUGUUAGCUUUACAAGUUGUUAAGUCUAAAAUGAUCCCAACACUGCAUUUUAUUUUCAAAAGCAUUGUGUUUACUUAAUAAGACUCCCUAUUUUGGCUCCUACAAAUAUAUAUAGUUCUUCCUCCACAUCAAGUGCUGAAAGGCAUUGUCUAUGAGGAAGGAGACCUCAUUAGAUGCAAAAUCUGCCUGUCUUCCGCUUUGGACUUCCCAACCUCCAAACUGUGAGAAAUAAAUUUCUGCUGUUUAUAAGCGAAGGAAAAACUAUACAAAGUGCAUUUGUGUGUGUGUGUGUGUGUGUGUGUGUGUGUGUGUGUGUGUGUGUGUGUGUGUGAAGAUGUGACAGAGAAAGAUGGGUGUAGUGGCUAAUGCCUUUAAUCUCAGCACUGGGGAGGCAGAGGCAGGUGGAUCUCUGUGGGUUUGAGGCCGGUCUGGUCUACAGAGUGAGUUCCAGCACAGCCAAAGCUACACAGAGAAACCGUGUCUUGAAAAACCAGAUUAAUUAAUUAAUCAAUGUAUCACCAUUGGUGAUUUCCAGGGGGUGGGAUUUUAUUUUAGCUUGUUUUAUUUCAAUUACUUGGAUAUUAUUUUUUUUUGUUGUUGUUGUUAUUUUGUUACAGGGUUUCUCUGGUAGCCUUUGCUGUCCUGGAAGACUCUCUGUAGACCAGACUAGCUUUUGAUUUUCACUCUGUAGAUCAGGCUGGCCUCGAACUUACAGAGAUCCUUCUGCCUCUGCCUCCCUAGUGCUGGGAUUAAAGGCGUGCGCCACCAUAUCCAGUUUAUUUAUUUUUAUUGAAAGUGUAUUAAGUGCAUUAUGUAUGUGUGCCACAUACUUGUCUGAUGGCCAGGAGGCCAGAAGGUGUUUGGUCCCCUGGAAUUAGAGUUAGGGAUGGUUGCAAUCUGCCACGUGGAUGCUGGGAACUGAACCCAGAUCCAUGACAAGAGUAGCAAGUGCUUUUAACCAUGGAGCCACCAUUUUGACCCACAGAUUUUUGUUUAUUUGUUUUAAUUAAGAAACAGAUACCAUUUGUGUGAUUUUAAAAGUUCAAAACCUCCCAGGUGGUGGUGCAUGCCUUUGAUCCACCACUCCGGAGGCAGAGGCAGGCAAGUCUGUGUGCAUACAAGACCAGCCUGAUCUACAGAAUGAAUUACAGGACAGCCAGGGCUAUACAGAUAAACCCUGCUUAAAAAAAAAAAAAAAAAAAAAAAAAAGGAAGAAAGAAAGAAAAGAAAAGUUCAAAGCCUGUGUCACAGGGGAUGCUGAGCAAUGUGGCUCCUAGCUGCCUCACCCAGCCUCUUCAGCCCCCAUUCUGGGGCUGCCGGGAUCCUGAAGGUCUUGAGAACAGCCUUUUACCCUGUCUAGCUACAAAACCACGUGACUUAUCUGGAGCUCUGGAAAUCCCAGGGUCUGUGCUCAUCUUCUUUGAGCCCAAUCCACUAUCCUGUAGGUACCCUGUCCUCUUUCUGCCCAUCUCCCCUUCUGCUCUGACUUCCUUCCCUCUUGCCCCAGCUCAGUUGAGCCCUGUUCCUCCUGUCUGUCAGCCCAUCUACCCAACUCCAGCCUUAUGGGAUGCUGCUGCUAAUCACUCUUCUGGCUUUCCCUCCUGGACACACCAGAGCAAAUGUGGAGGAAUAUGCAUAUGAGCGCCGCUGCCCUUGGAGUCCAGAAGACGUGUCAGACGCCCUGGAGCUGGACUUACAGUGAGCCACCUUAUAGGUGUCCUGGGAACCAAAUUCUGGUCCUCUGCAAGAACAGAAUGUACUCUUAACUCCUGAGCCAUCUCUCCAGACCCCUGGAUAAAGUUUUUGAAUGAUUUAUUUAUUCAACAAAUGCCCGAGGAGCUCUUGGUAUGGCCUGGCUGGCAUGGGGCACACAGAGGGAUGGUGGUCUUGUCCUCAAGUUCUCGACCAGAUGGAGAGAGAAGCAGAAGGGUCGACACAAACCAUCACAUGCUGGUUCCUCUCCGCCAGUCCCUAGACUUCGACUUCAUGUUACUUGGCUUUAACAUCUCCUCAUGGCUUCGGGGUUUCAGGGAUGGUAGAGGCAGGUCACAUGUGAGAGACAGAAGAUGAUGCAUCAGGACCAGGGUGAGAACUGGGAAGAAGUAGAAGGUGGGCUUCAAACAUUCCCAAGCAAGCGAGUCCCUCACCACGCUGGAGCCUCCAGGCAAGAGUCCUUUUUCUCUACUCCAUCCUUUAAAUUCUGAGAGCCACAAGCCAUGAUUCCCAACAAUUAAACUAGAGAGAAGAAAGCCUAUCUCUGAUGUGCAGAAAAACCGGCACAGAGAAAACCUCUUCCCUGCCCCAGAGCAAGCUAAGUUUCUCCUCUCCU